GACGAACGCUGGCGGCGUGCUUAACACAUGCAAGUCGAGCGGUAAGGCCCCUUCGGGGGUACACGAGCGGCGAACGGGUGAGUAACACGUGGGUGACCUGCCCUCAGCUCUGGGAUAAGCCUGGGAAACUGGGUCUAAUACCGGAUAUGACUCCAUGACGCAUGUCGUGGGGUGGAAAGCCUUGUGCGGCUGGGGAUGGGCCCGCGGCCUAUCAGCCUGUUGGUGGGGUGAUGGCCUACCAAGGCGACGACGGGUAGCCGGCCUGAGAGGGCGACCGGCCACACUGGGACUGAGACACGGCCCAGACUCCUACGGGAGGCAGCAGUGGGGAAUCUUGCGCAAUGGGCGAAAGCCUGACGCAGCGACGCCGCGUGAGGGAUGACGGCCUC
rnacentral:rRNA from 1 species